rnacentral:misc_RNA from 1 species
UAAAGUUUAAGAACUAUAAUAUUACAUUCAUAUAAGUUCAAUGAUAAUUAUUGAAAUUUACCCCUAUUAAUGAACAUAAUUGUUGGUGGCCACAAUUGCUGCACAAAUCAGGUGCACCUGAUUUAAACCCAAGAAAGAGUAAAAGGUAUCCGACUUCGGAAACUGGUCGAGUCAAAUAAAGCUAUGGGCUUAAUCAGAAUAAUAA